UACGUAGGGCGCAAGCGUUGUCCGGAAUUAUUGGGCGUAAAGAGCUCGUAGGCGGCGUGUCGCGUCGGUUGUGAAAGCCCGGGGCUUAACUCCGGGUCUGCAGUCGAUACGGGCAGGCUAGAGUUCGGUAGGGGAGAUCGGAAUUCCUGGUGUAGCGGUGAAAUGCGCAGAUAUCAGGAGGAACACCGGUGGCGAAGGCGGAUCUCUGGGCCGAUACUGACGCUGAGGAGCGAAAGCGUGGGGAGCGAACAGG
rnacentral:rRNA from 1 species